UACGGAGGGUGCAAGCGUUAUUCGGAAUCAUUGGGUGUAAAGCGCGUGUAGGCGGCUUGGUAAGUCAGAUGUGAAAGCUUCGGGCUUAACCCGGAAAGUGCAUUUGAAACUGCCAGGCUUGAGUUCGGGAGAGGAAGGUGGAAUUCCCAGUGUAGAGGUGAAAUUCGUAGAUAUUGGGAGGAACACCGGUGGCGAAGGCGACCUUCUGGACCGUGACUGACGCUGAGACGCGAAAGCGUGGGGAGCAAACAGG
rnacentral:rRNA from 1 species